CCUACGGGAGGCAGCAGUAGGGAAUUUUCGGCAAUGGGGGGAACCCUGACCGAGCAACGCCGCGUGAACGAAGAAGUUAUUCGUAAUGUAAAGUUCUUUUAACAGGGAAGAAAGAGAAAUUUGACGGUACCUGAAGAAUAAGCUGCGGCUAACUACGUGCCAGCAGCCGCGGUAAUACGUAGGGAGCGAGCGUUAUCCGGAAUUAUUGGGCGUAAAGGGUGCGUAGAUUGCAUAGUAAGUCUUUUGUAAAUAUGCUGUGCUCAACCCAGUAGGGCAUAAGAUACUGGAAAACUAGAGUUUGACAGAGGCAAGUGGAACUACAUGUGUAGCGGUAAAAUGCGUAGAUAUAUGUAAGAACACCAGAGGCGAAGGCGGCUUACUGGGUCGAUACUGACAUUGAGGCACGAAAGCGUGGGGAGCAAACAGGAUUAGAUACCCUUGUAGUC
rnacentral:rRNA from 1 species